rnacentral:rRNA from 1 species
CAGCGCCACGAGUGGGAAUCGUGUUUAUUGGGCCUAAAGCGUCCGUAGCCGGUCAAGUAAAUCUUUUGUGAAAUCAUCGGGCUUAACCCGAUGGCGUGCAGAAGACACUGCUUGACUAGGAACCGGGAGGAGUCAGAGGUAUGGGAUGGGGAGCGGUAAAAUGCGAUAAUCCAUCUUAGACCACCUGUGGCGAAGGCGUCUGACUAGAACGGAUUCGACGGUGAGGGACGAAAGCCAGGGGAGCGAUCCGGAUUAGAUACCCGCGUAGUCC